rnacentral:rRNA from 1 species
GACGAACGCUGGCGGCGUGCUUAACACAUGCAAGUCAAACGGAAAGGCUCCAACUUGCUGGGGUACACGAGUGGCCAACGGGUGAGUAACACAUGGGUGACCUGACCUGCACUUCGGGAUAACCCUGGGAAACUGGGUCUAAUACCGGAUAGGACCGCACCGUGAGGGUGUGGUGGAAAGUUUUUACGGUGUGAGAUGGGCCCCCGGCCUAUCAGCUUGUUGGUGGGGUAAUGGCCUACCAAGGCGGCGACGGGUAGCCGGCCUGAGAGGGUGGACGGCCACAUUGGGGCUGAUACACCGCCCACACUCCUACCGGAGGUCACACUGGGGAAUAUUGCACAAUGGGCGGAAGCCUGAUGCAACGACUCCCCCUGGGAGAUGACGGCCUUCGGGUUGAAAACUCCUUUCACCAUCGACGAACGGUUUCUGACAGUAGAUGGACAACAAUCUGCGGGUAACUACGUGCCAGCAUCCGAGGUAAUACUUAGGGUGCGAGCGUUGUCCCGAAUUACUGGGGGUAAAGAGCUCGUAGGUGGUUUGUCGCAACGGACUGUGAAAUUCCGGGGCUUAACUCCGGGCGUGCAGGCGAUACGGGCAUAACUUGAGUACUGUAGGGGAGACUGGAAUUCCUGGUGUAGCGGUGAAAUGCGCAGAUAUCAGGAGGAACACCGGUGGCGAAGGCGGUUCUCUGGGCAGUAACUGACGCUGAGGAGCGAAAGCAUGGGGAGCGAACAGGAUUAGAUACCGCUGGUAGUCCAUGCCGUAAACGGUGGGCGCUAGGUGUGGGUCUCCUUCCACGGGAUCCGUGCCGUAGCUAACGCAUUAAGCGCCCCGCCUGGGGAGUACGGCCGCAAGGCUAAAACUCAAAGGAAUUGACGGGGGCCCGCACAAGCGGCGGAGCAUGUGGAUUAAUUCGAUGCAACGCGAAGAACCUUACCUGGGCUUGACAUAUACAGGAUCGCGCCAGAGAUGGUGUUUCCCUUGUGGCUUGUAUACAGGUGGUGCAUGGUUGUCGUCAGCUCGUGUCGUGAGAUGUUGGGUUAAGUCCCGCAACGAGCGCAACCCUUGUCUUAUGUUGCCAGCACGUUGUGGUGGGGACUCGUAAGAAACUGCCGGGGUUAACUCGGAGGAAGGUGGGGAUGACGUCAAAUCAUCACGCCCCUUAUGUCCAGGGCUUCACACAUGCUACAAUGGUCGGUACAGUGGGUUGCCAGUCCGUGAGGGCGAGCUAAUCCCGCAAAGCCGGUCUCAGUUCGGAUCGGGGUGUGCAACUUGACCCCGAGAAGUCGGAGUCGUUAGUAAUCGCAGAUCAGCAACGCUGCGGUGAAUACGUUCCCGGCCCU